AAAGCGGCGCACGGGUGAGUAACACGUAGGUAAUUUACCCCCUUGGUGGUGGAUAACCUUCCGAAAGGAGGGCUAAUACAGCAUAAGACCACGUCUUCGCAAGGAGAUGAGGUCAAAGCCGGCCUCUUCACGAAAGCUGGCGCCAGGGGAUGAGCCUGCGGCCCAUCACGGUAGUUGGUAGGGUAAUGGCCUACCAAGCCUAAGACGGGUAGCUGGUCUGAGAGGAUGAUCAGCCACACUGGAACUGAGACACGGUCCAGACUCCUACGGGAGGCAGCAGUAGGGAAUAUUGGGCAAUGGGCGCAAGCCUGACCCAGCCAUGCCGCGUGGAGGAUGAAGGCGCUCAGCGUUGUAAACUUCUUUUAUCGGGGAAGAACGGCAGUCCUGCGGGAUUGUGUGACGGUACUCGAGGAAUAAGCACCGGCUAACUCCGUGCCAGCAGCCGCGGUAAU
rnacentral:rRNA from 1 species